CUCCGUUUCCCCGCGGCCGGAGGAGGGGCCCGCAGGGUAGGCGGCGGCCCAGGAGCAGGUGGCUUAUCCCCUUGAGACCUCAGUUUCCUGCCAGCACGGAAUUACGGAGAUGACGCAUGAGAAGCUUGAUCAGUGUCUCCUUCGUGGUGGCACUGUGACAGACCGGUUGCUGAACAACUGAGGCCUGAGAAGAGUCAGCCUGCUGGCAAACGGUAGAGCUGGGUGAAGAGGAGUGAAUAACACAGCGGACCUUACAGAACUGCAGUGAACAUCGUGAGGUGCUGAGCUGGGUGCCCUGGAGACGGGGGUUUUGAGGCUGUGAUUCUAAACACACUGGGAAAGUGUUGUGCCACGUGUAUCCUGUGCCCCAGUCACAAACGGCAACAACAGCAAGCAGCACACAGCAAACGGAGAAAUAGGGUCAGGAUCCAGAGGCCCUGAGGUCAGCAAAGUGUUGCCCUUCCCACAAGGCUGUCCCUGUCCUAACCCCCAGAACCUGCUACUGUGUCAGAAAACAGGCCAAAAAAAAAAAAAAAAAGGACGAAGAUGUAAUAAAGCUGUAGACCUGGAAAUAAGGGAGUUAGUCUGGGCCCAAUGUAAUCACAAAGUCUUGACAGCAGAGAACCUUCUCUGACUGGAAGCAGAAGGGAGAGUCAGACUCCAGGUGUGAGAGGCGUUUGACGUGUCUUUAC
ensembl:lncRNA